CCUACGGGGGGCUGCAGUGGGGAAUAUUGGACAAUGGGGGCAACCCUGAUCCAGCCAUGCCGCGUGUGUGAAGAAGGCCCUCGGGUUGUAAAGCACUUUCAGUGAGGAAGAACGCCUGGUGGUUAAUACCCAUCAGGAAAGACAUCACUCACAGAAGAAGCACCGGCUAACUCCGUGCCAGCAGCCGCGGUAAUACGGAGGGUGCGAGCGUUAAUCGGAAUUACUGGGCGUAAAGCGUGCGUAGGUGGCUUGAUAAGCCGGUUGUGAAAGCCCCGGGCUCAACCUGGGAACGGCAUCCGGAACUGUCAAGCUAGAGUGCAGGAGAGGAAGGUAGAAUUCCCGGUGUAGCGGUGAAAUGCGUAGAGAUCGGGAGGAAUACCAGUGGCGAAGGCGGCCUUCUGGACUGACACUGACACUGAGGUGCGAAAGCGUGGGUAGCAAACAGGAUUAGAUACCCCUGUAGUC
rnacentral:rRNA from 1 species